AUUGUCUUAGCUCAGCUGGUAGAGCUUGGGAGUACACAUCCAGAGGCCGUGGGUUUAAAUCCCGCCGGCAGUC
rnacentral:tRNA from 1 species